AGUCAUAUAUUUUAAAUUAAAAUAUUAAUUUUGUAAAUUAAAGAUAAAAUAUUUUUAUGACUU
rnacentral:tRNA from 1 species